GGCACUGUGGCGGAGUGGUUAACGCGACAGAUUCGAAUCAUAGAGAAGCUUUAUCCUACAUCCAUCUGUUCCACUUGUUGGGCGCAUGUUCGAAUCAUGCCAGUGUCG